CAGUAGCCGCGGGAAUACGGAGGGUGCAAGCGUUAAUCGGAAUUACUGGGCGUAAAGCGCACGCAGGCGGUCUGACAAGUCAGAUGUGAAAUCCCCGGGCUUAACCUGGGAACUGCAUUUGAAACUGUCAGGCUGGAGUCUUGUAGAGGGGGGUAGAAUUCCAGGUGUAGCGGUGAAAUGCGUAGAGAUCUGGAGGAAUACCGGUGGCGAAGGCGGCCCCCUGGACAAAGACUGACGCUCAGGUGCGAAAGCGUGGGGAGCAAACAGGAUUAGAUACCCCAGUAGUCCCUGUCUCUUAUAA
rnacentral:rRNA from 1 species